CCCGGAAGUAUUUCCCAAGCUAUUCACGUAGGAAAAAUGGCGGCGGUGCAGGUCGCCGCCUCUCUUCCUUGUGAGCAGCCGCGAGAGGCCCCGCGGGAGCUGUCCCUGGAGCAGAACAAUGGGUUCCGCCGCUUGUCUGCCAGGCUUCGCGCGCUGCAGCCGGAUGACAGCACUGUGUCCCGCAUGGAGAUCCACCUGCUCUUCGACCAGCUCAUCUCCGAGAACUACUGUGAGGGCGGCGGCGUGGCCCCGGAGGAUGUCAGUGCUCUUCUUGUGCGAGCUUGUCAGCUGGUGCCUCUUAAUCAGAACCACCUUGUGAGCAAAGUGUCUCAGCUGAUCCAUCGUUUACUUAACAGAUUACAGGUGAUUGUGGAUGAGCAGAACUUAGAUUUCCUGUUGACCUAUACGAUCUCAGCUAUUCAGCAGUGUAGCCCUUGGACACACAUGGAAAUUCUUCAAGCCCUGGCAGCUCUGGUUUACUGCAAUGGCUCAAAAUGUCAAAAGCAUCUCCCAGACUUGCUAGGUAAGAGCGGCCUCUUGAUGAAGUUGAGUGACGUGACUCACUCUGACCCUGAAGUCAGGAGAGCUGCAGUGCACUGCAUGGCAAACUUAUGUCUCAGUGUGCCAGGACAGCCAUACUUGGAGGAGUCCUACCAGCUUGUCUGCUUCCAAGCUUUCUUGACCAUUUUACAGUCUCCAAAAUCGUCUGAUAUGGAUGAUAUAACAUUUUGCAUGCUGUUACAGAAUGCACUGAAAGGCAUCCAGUCACUCCUCAAUGGUGGGAAGAUGAGGCUGACACAGACCGAGCACCUGGGAGCGCUUCUCGCUGUGCUAAAGAAAGCCAUGUUCCAUGGACUCCCUGGAUUAAACAUAGAGAUGCCCGCAGUGCUCUACCCAACUCCACUUCCGCAGUACGAUGGGCGAUCACCAGUUAAACCCCAGCAGCCGGAGUCCAGUGCUGCUCGACCAUCUGCGAAUAAAAAGAAAAAAUACAAAGUAAAACCAAAGAAAACCCAACAAGGAGAGAAAGCGGAGGAGGAGGAGCCCUAUGGUGAAGUGGACGCAGCCCCAGGGCUCAGCAUGGACCAGGCGAACACAUGUGUCGAGAGCGCUUGGUGCUCCUCCCCCUGGGGCUCCCAGGGUUUGCCUGUGGAUGGAGGCAGAGCUACCGGAAGAGAACAGGUUUCCUCACCCUUCACCAUCUCUAGCUGGAAAAGGGUCAGCAGCAGUGAGUCAGACUAUUCAGACGCAGAAGGAGGCAUGCAGGGUAAAAUGAGGUCAUACCAAGCCAAGGUUCGCCAAGGGGCACUAGCUUGUUUUCUCUCUACUAUCAAAUCGAUAGAAAAAAAAGUUCUAUACGGCUACUGGUCUGCCUUUGUUCCUGACACGCCAGAGCUUGGAAGCCCACAGUCUGUGUCCUUAAUGACACUCACAUUAAAGGAUCCAUCUCCAAAGACGAGAGCCUGUGCUCUUCAAGUUCUGUCUGCCAUCUUGGAAGGCUCAAAGCAGUUCCUUUCUGUUGCUGAAGACACCAGUGACCACAAACGAGCUUUCACGCCCUUCUCGGUCACGAUUGCGUCCAGCAUUAGAGAGUUGCACAGAUGUCUUUUGUUAGCUUUGGUAGCAGAGUCCUCGUCCCAGACCCUUACUCAGAUAAUUAAGUGCCUUGCGAAUCUAGUAUCAAACGCCCCCUACAACCGUCUGAAACUCAGCUUGCUAACCAAAGUCUGGAAUCACAUAAAGCCUUACAUCCGUCACAAAGAUGUUAACGUCAGAGUGUCAAGUCUCACACUCCUAGGAGCUGUAGUGUCCACUCACGCGCCUUUGCCAGAAGUCCAGCUGCUUCUUCAACAGCCCUGUUCCUCUGGGCGCAGCAGCAGCUCAGCAACCCCUCACCUCAGCACUCCUGAUGGCUGGAAGGCACUCCCUGCAGGACCCUCUCUGGAAGAAGCAUCACUCAGCUCACCAAAGGGGACAGCAGAGCCCUGCUGGCUGAUCAGACUCUGCAUUUCCACUGUGGUGCUGCCCAAGGAGGAUUCCUGCUCAGGUAGCGAUGCUGGCUCCGCCCUGGGAAGCACCUAUGAACCAUCCCCCAUGCGGCUGGAGGCGCUACAGGUUCUGGCCCACCUGGCAAGGGGCUAUUUCUCAAUGGCUCAGUUGUACUUGAUGGAGCUUGGCGAGGUGAUCUGUAAGUGCAUGUGCGAAGCAAAUCCAUCCAUUCAGCUCCACGGCGUGAAGCUCCUGGAAGAACUGGGUACAGGCUUGAUACAGCAGUACAAGCCAGAUUCCAGCACGGCCCCUGAACAGAGAGUGCCAGUCCACAUGGUGGCGAUGUUCUGGACUGCGAUGCUGAAUGGUCCUUUGCCCCGAGCCCUGCAGUCCACAGAGCACCCGACUCUCCAGGCGAGCGCCUGCGAUGCCCUGUCCUCCAUCUUGCCAGAGGCCUUCAGCAGUCUGCCGAAUGACAAGCAGAUUUUGUGCAUCACGAUGUUGCUCGGCCUGAAUGACAGCAAGAACCAUUUAGUGAAAGCCGCGACCUCCAGGGCCCUUGGAGUCUACGUGCUUUUCCCCUGCCUCAGACAGACACCGCAAAUGCCAUAUUGAUGUCCCUUCAAGAUAAGUCACUAAACGUGCGUGCCAAAGCAGCCUGGUCCCUGGGCAACCUGACAGAUACUCUGAUUGUCAACAUGUAAGUGACUCAGCCGCUUUCCCUGAGUGGCGUCUGUUUUAGAGCUCCUAAAGGUGUCUUCCAUCCCUACCAUGAAACAGUUGGCAAGAAUUUCCCCGUGUCAUACAGGCGGCCUUGCUGCCUUGUUUUACUAUUCCUCUAAGCAAUAAACCUAGUAGGUUUUUUAAUGUAUUAAGAAUACAUAUUACUCUAUUACAGUGUGUGUGUCUGUCUGUCUGUCUGUCUGUCUCUCUGUCUUCAAAACUGCCAUGUGCUGUCGUAAGUGUGGACAAUAUCACAGUAGAAGUCAAAAACCUUUGUAAAAGUUGCCCUGUUCUUAGGAUGCAGAGGUUUUCCUGGUUUUAUUUUAUUAAAUUCUUUUACAUAUAAUAUGUUUUAAUCAGAUUUUCUCCCAACCAACUCCUCUCAGAUCCCCCCACCUUUCUACCCAUCCAACUUCAUAUUUGACACCUCUCUCUCUCUCUCUUCUCCCUCUCCUUCUCCCUCUUCCCCCUCCCCCCUCUCUCCCCCUCUUCCCCCUCCCCCUUCUCUCCCUCCCAUCCCUUCCCUCUCCCCCUCCCCCCUCCCCCUCUCCCUCUUCCUCUUCUCUCUCCUCCUCUCUUUCUCCCUCUAUCCCUUCUUCCCUCCUCUCUCAAAAAACAGGAGCCUGCCCUGAAGCAUAGUUGAUAUACCCAGGAUACUCCAUUGGAGAAAGAAAAAAAUAGCUGUGUGUGUGUGUGUGUGUAUGUAUGUAUGUGUGUAUGUGUGUAAUAUAUUCACAAGUCAAAAGAUUUUGAACAGUACUAAGGAGUGUGCAAAUAGAAUCUGCCUCCUUUCCCAUAAUGCCCCAUUCCUGUCACUAGAGCUGGUCCCAACUUACUUUGUUACUUAGUUCUGCAUCAGAGGCCUGUGUAGCACACAGAGCCAUUCUCUGCACUGGGUGUUUAGUAAACAUUUGCCACACAGAGGCUGCCAAAGGGUGCAUCCUUCUCCAUCCCAUUCCUGAGUGCUUGUUUCAGGCCUUGGGCUUACGGGUGUCUACAGGCAGUGAAUACUUCCAGGUAUGAAAUGUCCAUUUUGACACCUAGGUGUGGUGGCAUGUGCCUGUAAUCCCAGCACUCAGGAGGCCGAGUCAGGAGGAUCACAAAUUCAAAGUCAACACAGGCUCCAUACCAAGUCCCAGGCCAGUCUAAGCUCUAUAAUGAGGCCCUGGCUCAAUACAAACAAAACAAGAAAGAUGCGUGAGUUCUUGGUGCAAUCUGAAAAGAUCUGACAACCUGUUUUCCUCAAGUUUUCACACCUCUAAAGGGGGCUCUACCUUUGUAUGCGCACAUUUAAGUGGUAUUUUCUUUUUAUCCCGCCUUGUGCCUUGGGUGGGACAGGGACACACCAGACCCAAGUUUCCAGGAUGAGUUCUCUGGACUCCUGCUCUUGAAAAUGUUGCAGUCUGCAAUACAGGCCUCCACGGACAAAGACAAGGUCAAAAGCAAUGCAGUCCGGGCCCUUGGGAAUUUGCUUCAUUUUCUGCAAC